rnacentral:tRNA from 1 species
AGGAGUGUAGCUCAGCUGGUAGAGCAUCGGUCUCCAAAACCGAGGGCCGUGGGUUCGAGUCCCUCCACUCCUG